UACGGAGGGGGCUAGCGUCGUUCGGAAUUACUGGGCGUAAAGCGCACGUAGGCGGCUUUGUAAGUUAGAGGUGAAAGCCCAGGGCUUAACCCUGGAAUUGCCUUUAAGACUGCAUCGCUAGAAUUGUGGAGAGGUAAGUGGAAUUCCGAGUGUAGAGGUGAAAUUCGUAGAUAUUCGGAAGAACACCAGUGGCGAAGGCGACUUACUGGACACAUAUUGACGCUGAGGUGCGAAAGCGUGGGGAGCAAACAGG
rnacentral:rRNA from 1 species